rnacentral:rRNA from 1 species
UACGUAGGGUGCAAGCGUUGUCCGGAAUUAUUGGGCGUAAAGAGCUCGUAGGCGGUCUGUCGCGUCUGCUGUGAAAACUCGGGGCUUAACCCCGGGCCUGCAGUGGGUACGGGCAGACUAGAGUGCGGUAGGGGAGACUGGAAUUCCUGGUGUAGCGGUGAAAUGCGCAGAUAUCAGGAGGAACACCGGUGGCGAAGGCGGAUCUCUGGGCCGUAACUGACGCUGAGGAGCGAAAGCAUGGGGAGCGAACAGG